rnacentral:antisense_RNA from 1 species
CUUGAUCGAACCCAGCAACACCGGCCGCUCGGCGGGCCGAUGCUGCCCGUAGGUGGCCAGGAUGGCCUGUGCCUC